UCGUGCUAGACGGGGAGGUAGCGGUGCCCUGAACCCGCAACCCGCUAUAGCGGGGUCGAAUUCCCACUCGAGGGCGUUCUUUUUUGGGGCCUGGCCCUGUUAAGUAGCGAAGAUGGCUGGGUCCCGCGCAACGGAUGUCUGUGAACCCCGUCAGGACCGGGAGGUAGCAGCGGUAAGCAGAAUGUUCCGUGUGCCGCGGGGGUGCCUGGUCGGAGCCGGCUGGCAGGUUACCGCCUGGGAGAGACGUUCGACAGUGGGUGCACGA
rnacentral:SRP_RNA from 1 species